AUAUAUAUGUCCAGAAAUUGGCUGGGUGGUUUUUUAAAGCUCUUGGACUGUUUUUUUUAGAAAUGGAAGUGCAAAAACAUGCAAAAUGUGAGUUUUGCAUAAAAGGUUCCUUUAAAAAAACACUGCUCAACAAUCACUGAUGUUUGUUAGAGAAAUGAAGCAAAGUUUUGUAAAUAACAUGCAUAAUGAUUUGAGUUUAAUGACUAAAAAAGUGUGAUAGAGGAUGUGUAAUAGUGGGUAUGAUUUAAGAGAGGUGUAGCAGAAAAUGGGAAAAGAUGUACAGAAAGCAGAGAUAAGAAAUGUUCCAAAUAUGCUGAUUGGUUGCUUAACUUCACAAUCUUCAACAUCCAACCUGUUGCUAUCACACAGUAGCACAUUUAAAUAAAUUAUCGUAUGGUUAAUAUUAAAUACUAUAGAUGGUUUAAAGUAUAUAAGUUGGAUCCUUGAUCUUUGUGUGCUUUGUUGUAGCGGAAAACCUUUUGCUGCACUUGGUAGUUGAUAUAGAACAUGAAAUACAGUGUAUAAGUACAACAUGUCUGUUUAGCUGUGAUUCUUUUUCACAGAAACAUGAGGUUGAAUAAAAAUAGACAUGACUCACCUCAGCUGUCACUCUGUCUCUCCCUGUGUCACCCGCGUCGUCAACACCCACCCCUGCACUGACCUGCAGUACACCACACCCAUUCAUUUCUCAAUUUUUAGCCUCUUUAAGGCAUUUUAUGACUCUUUUGUGGAUUAAUUUAAACUGACUCUUUGCUCACAAGUAUAGUCUAGGCAUUAAGAAACUAUUUUAAUUGUGUCCCAACUUUUACCACAUGGAGGCGCUGUAGGAUUUGUCAUCAAGCACAGGAAGAACCCGGCUGAUUGGGUUUCAGUCUCUGCAGAGCAAAGGAGACGGCAGGCAGUACAAUACGAGAUCUGGGAAUCUAGAUUCCUGUUGGUCUGGGACCUGGAUCUUCCUCCUGCGGAGACCCGACGUCUCACAGCUGUCUCUUGCAGAUUUAUCUGGAGCUAAAACCGGCCGGUUAAGGGGGACAGGAGUGCCUCUUCUCUUUGGAGGUGCUGGUAACUGGACCCACACGGGCCCUCGCGUUCAGCUCCUGUAGCCAGCGCCGCCGCCGGCUCCUUGUCGGCCUCCGUUUCCCUGCAACAUCCUGAAAAAAACACCUGUAAUCUCCAGCUUUUAAUCCUGCCCCCACCGGCUCGCAUUAAUCACAGGGGAGAAGCUGUCUGAGUGCAAAUGCAGGAGAUUUUGUGUGCUGUACAACAUGGACUCAUAAAAAUAGCUCACACAGGACAGAGAACGCAGCUAGGAAAUGAGCUUCAAUUACAGAGGAUGAAAAGCAAUUACAUUAACUGCCUCCCUGCAGACAGACCCUUCUGCUUCUUCUCGCGCGCUGGGACUCACCUCCAGCUUUACAUAAUUGCUUUCGACCUGUUCAACUGACAGUGACAUACCGCUGGAACCGCGUUCGAGUGGUUAGUCAAGAGAGAUGCAAAGCCGCCACCACGAUUUAAUGUCCUCAAGGGCACGAGUGGGGCUGGACGCCAUGUUUGAAGUGAGCUUCGCUUUAUUAAGGGACCCUCUGAAAAUCUGCUGGGAACCGCAACCAACUGAGAAUAACAUCUAACAAACGUCAGCAAACUUUUUCUGGAUUAGAUUUCUCUCCCAUCCGUUCAAACUCUUGUUUCUAAACUAUGCCUUACAUCCAGUGGCAUCCCUAAAAAAUUUGUCGUAGGGCUGGCCUGACGAGGGCAGUAAAGUUUUAGGAGGAUGAAGCUUAGACAACAUUUUAUUGUUUUAUUUAUUUAUUGGGUUUUACAUUUAUGAUUUCAUUGAAGAAGAUGACUUUGUUUGCCUUUCUAUGACAUGAACAUGAUUAUCUAGGGGGAGGAAUGAGGCGGCCAGCAUUUUUCAAGACUUAUUGCCAACCUCUUGGGGGCACCACUGUUUACAUCUCAAACAUUUGACCUACUAUUUUCAGUAUCAGAGAGCUAAUGUUAUUGAUUUGAUAAGAAAUCCUCUUAUUGAGAAAAGCGGAACAAGGGUAAAGCAAAUUGUUCUGUUGAAGAAAUAAAUUAUUAAAUGAAAAUGAAGCUCAACACUCAAAGGAAAAGCAGAGAGUUCAUCACAUUUUUUUGCAUAAAAUUAUUCGUAGAUCGCGAGAUUUUAGUGUGGUCAGUUCUGCCUAUUUUUAGGAUGUCUUGUCACUUUAAAUCCAAAUAAUCUCCUGCUGGUCACGCCUCCCAACUCAAUGUUUACACUCACACAUGAAAAUGGCUGCAAACAAAUCUGCAAUCAUGUAACCCUACAUCCUUGAAAAGCAAAAGUAAGGCCUCCUGCACAACCAACAAUAACGCAGCAAGUAGUUUCUAAAUGGUAAGUCAAUAAUAAAACACUUGCCUUUUCCAGCAGCCAUUAUACAGCAAAUACGGCAGUAAAAUCAAAUGUGCAGGAGCUUCGUUUGGUUUGCUCGGUGGUCAGCUGGGCUCGACUGGGGUUGCUAGGUAACGGCUCAAUGUGACAUUAUUAACAAUCUGUAGGUUUUUGAAAUGGUUAAUUUUCCAGACGCCAAAAAAACUUUAACUUGUUGCCCAAAAAUAACUGGGUGGUUUUCUUAAGUGCUUGAUCUGUUUUAAGAAGCAGAAAUGGAAGAUAAUUGAUUUUAGAUAGAUAGAUAGAUUUCAAUCUAUCUAUCUAUCUAUCUAUCUAUC